GUAAGACCAGUCUGAACGAGUGGACCCUAUCGUGUCGCAGAGCUUUUUCAUGCGCAUGUGCAUUUCUUAUUUACCUUUUAUAUUGACGACGUUAUUGUCCAGUUGAAAUAUUAUAGAUCAUUUAGACUACAAAACAACCCGAGGAUUGAAUAUAAACAUCGUUUGACAUAUUUCUAUGAACUUUACGGAUACAAUUUGGAUUUUUUGUCAGAUUGUUUUGAUUGCGUUUGAGCCUGUGGAUUACUGAAGAAAACGAGCUAACAAAAUUGAUGUUUUUGGAUAUAAAGAGACUUCAUCGAACAAAAGGAACAUUUAUUGAGUAAAUGAAUGUCUUCUGAUUGCCUCCAUAUGAAGAUCAUCAAAGGAUUAUCCGCUCCGAUAACCGAGACACCAGACCAGCUUGGCGGCAGAGAGACAAGCCAGCUGAAAUCAGAAUUACCACGACAGACGACAGCAACAAGAAGAAGCGCUAAGAUGUGUUUGGACCCAAGAAGGACAGGAAGGCACAGUACACAUGCAUCAAGUGCAAUAAAUACAUUUGCAACACACGACCAGUAAAACUCUGUCCCUCAUGUGGUGUGCAGACCGGCCUUAAUUUGUUUUCAAUGGGGCUCAUUUAUAAUUUCCAUAAAAUACUGUAUGUAACAUUUGUCCUUCCAAUUUGUACAGUUCAAAGCAAUAAACAUCAAUAGCGAUGAAAACCUUGUUUCAUUUAUAUUUGUUCAAGAUAAACAUGAUUUAUUCAACCCAUGUCUUGAUUAUAAUAGAUUUUUCUUCACAAAUAACGCUUUUAUUGAUAAAUGUGAUCUAGCAAAGGGAAAUGGCAAAUAAUUGAUUAACCACGUAUGCUGUCUAUAUUGCUUGUACUGGAUAUAAGUCAACAUCCUAAGUAUUAAUUAUUUUUAUGUAAAUUGUUAUGGCUGUAUUGUUUUCAAAACCCAAUAAUGUUGUGGGUCCAUCAGACCCGCGAACAUUGGGUGAAUAAUAAAAACAUGAACACCACACAAUGGUUAAGUGCAUGCCGCCACCUACUCUGCCGGAAUGUACAAUCAAUCAUGAUCUACCCAAUUCUGUACCUCUACAUACAAUACAUCAUGACUGAUCCUAUAUCUCUGAGCCUCUCUCUGUACCUGGCAUCCACCAAAUGCUGCACCACAUUAACAGCACUUUAGCUUCACAUUGCUCAUCGUAAUCAUGUGCACCUCUACACUUGGCACAUAUUUUCUUUCCUUAACGAGGCAACACAAAUUCCCUAACUAAGGAAUCCUAUCUGUACUUUUCCCGGCAAGACUUUCUCAAACCUCAUCAUCACUGAUAAGCUUUCCCUUCUUUGACCCUCUCUCCUACUAAUCAACCUUUUGGCCUCUAUCACUCUGCCUCCCUUCACAUUUUCUUUAAUAUCAUCUCUGGACAUAGAUAUUGGGACCACAGUGAUGACUCCCUUCAAUCUUGGAUACACACCAGGGACAUGGCUUUUAAUCUUCUUCCCAUUAAGCUUUUCCAUCUAAAAAAUAUUCUCUUGCUGAGCCUGGCUACCACACAAUAUUAACUAUCUACCAUUUCCAAUGAACCGAGCUAAUUUCACC
ensembl:lncRNA